UAAGCAUAUCAAUAAGCGGAGGAAAAGAAACCAACAGGGAUUGCCUCAGUAACGGCGAGUGAAGCGGCAACAGCUCAAAUUUGAAAUCUGGCUCUCCUUGGGGGUCCGAGUUGUAAUUUGGAGAGGAUGUUUCUGGCGCGGCGCCUACCGGAGUUCCUUGGAACAGGACGCCACAGAGGGUGAGAGCCCCGUACGGUGGGACGCCUAGCCGCAACGAAACUCCUUCGACGAGUCGAGUAGUUUGGGAAUGCUGCUCAAAAUGGGAGGUAAAUUUCUUCUAAAGCUAAAUACCGGCCAGAGACCGAUAGCGCACAAGUAGAGUGAUCGAAAGAUGAAAAGCACCUUGAAAAGAGGGUUAAACAGUACGUGAAAUUGUUGAAAGGGAAGCGCCUGCGACCAGACUCGCGCCCCGCGGACCAGCCGGCGUUCUCGCCGGUGCACUCCGCGGGGUGCGGGCCAGCAUCGGUUUUCCCUGGGGGAGAAAGGCCGCGGGAACGUAGCUCCUUCGGGAGUGUUAUAGCCCGCGGCGCCAUGCCCCA
rnacentral:rRNA from 1 species